rnacentral:rRNA from 1 species
UGGGGGAUAUUGCACAAUGGGCGAAAGCCUGAUGCAGCGACGCCGCGUGGGGGAUGAAGGCCUUCGGGUUGUAAACUUCUUUUGCUCUGAACAAGGCGCACCAUGGGGUGUGUUGAGUGUAGGGGUUGAUUAGCGCCGGCUAACUACGUGCCAGCAGCCGCGGUAAUACGUAGGGCGCGAGCGUUGUCCGGAAUGAUUGGGCGUAAAGGGCUUGUAGGUGGCUGGUUGCGUCUGUCGUGAAAGCUCAUGGCUUAACUGUGGGUUUGCGGUGGGUACGGGCUGGCUUGAGUGCAGUAGGGGAGGCUGGAAUUCCUGGUGUAGCGGUGGAAUGCGAAGAUAUCAGGAGGAAUACCGGUGGCGAAGGCGGGUCUCUGGGCUGUUACUGACACUGAGGAGCGAAAGCAUGGGGAGCGAACAGG